rnacentral:rRNA from 1 species
AGGACGAACGCUGGCGGCGCGCCUAACACAUGCAAGUCGAACGAGCGAGAGAGAGCUUGCUUUCUCGAGCGAGUGGCGAACGGGUGAGUAACGCGUGGGUAACCUGCCCUGUACCGGGGGACAACAGUUGGAAACGACUGCUAAUACCGCAUAAGCGCACAGCAUCGCAUGAUGCAGUGUGAAAAACUCCGGUGGUACAGGAUGGACCCGCGUCUGAUUAGCUGGUUGGUGAGGUAACGGCCCACCAAGGCGACGAUCGGUAGCCGGACUGAGAGGUUGAACGGCCACAUUGGGACUGAGACACGGCCCAGACUCCUACGGGAGGCAGCAGUGGGGAAUAUUGCACAAUGGGGGAAACCCUGAUGCAGCGACGCCGCGUGGAGGAAGAAGGUCUUCGGAUUGUAAACUCCUGUUGUUGAGGAAGAUAAUGACGGUACUCAACAAGGAAGUGACGGCUAACUACGUG